rnacentral:other from 1 species
CAAGCCCUGCAGUGUACGUGGUUGUCGAGGAAGUUUUGAGCCGACACUCAAAAUUGAUGGUGUCUUUCUUGGAUUGUCCAAGUGGCAGCCCAUCUGAUCAGGUUUAGACCUGCUUGGAAGGGAUUCGCGAGGGCAGGCAGUGGACACCGCCCUGGUUUUCUAGGGUUCAAAAACUCGGUAGGCACACGGCACAGGCGGGGCUUUU